UACGUAGGGGGCAAGCGUUGUUCGGAAUUACUGGGCGUAAAGGGCGCGUAGGCGGCCUUCUAAGUCGAACGUGAAAUCCCUGGGCUCAACCCAGGAACUGCGUCCGAUACUGGAUGGCUUGAGGUUGGGAGAGGGAUGCGGAAUUCCAGGUGUAGCGGUGAAAUGCGUAGAUAUCUGGAGGAACACCAGUUGCGAAGGCGGCUGACUGGACACAUAUUGACGCUGAGGCUCGAAAGCAUGGGGAGCAAACAGG
rnacentral:rRNA from 1 species